rnacentral:pre_miRNA from 1 species
GAUCAAAGAGCAAAUUGGUCUUUUCUAUUAAAAACUGGCAUGGUUGACAGAAUAACCAAACAGUGACAUGUAGCAUGCUACGUGUACCUCAUGUCAACAUACAUGAAUCAGUUUUUAACCGUAGAAAUGGAUGAAAUUUUUAAUA